rnacentral:rRNA from 1 species
AACGCACGCUGGCGGCAGGCCUAACACAUGCAAGUCGAACGCUCCAGCAAUGGAGAGUGGCAGACGGGUGAGUAACGCGUGGGAACCUACCCUUUGGUUCGGAAUAGCUCAGGGAAACUUGAGGUAAUACCGGAUAAGCCCCUUGGGGGAAAGAUUUAUCGCCGAAGGAUGGGCCCGCGUCGGAUUAGCUAGUUGGUGGGGUAACGGCCUACCAAGGCGACGAUCCGUAGCUGGUCUGAGAGGAUGAUCAGCCACACUGGGACUGAGACACGGCCCAGACUCCUACGGGAGGCAGCAGUGGGGAGUAUUGGACAAUGGGCGCAAGCCUGAUCCAGCCAUGCCGCGUGAGUGACGAAGGUCUUCGGAUUGUAAAGCUCUUUUGGCGGGGAAGAUAAUGACGGUACCCGCAGAAUAAGCCCCGGCUAACUUCGUGCCAGCCGCCGCAGUAAUAC